CGGUGUCCGUGAUGUUCCACAGUUACCUACAUUGUUCGAUCCUCGUGAGAACAGCGCUGGCUGAGACACUG
rnacentral:snoRNA from 1 species